rnacentral:lncRNA from 1 species
UAGAGAUUGACAAAAAAGCUGCUCUUUCGAUUAAGGAAAGAAGUAGCAGCACUUGGCCUCACAUCUCAUAUCUCUGCCAAGGAAGAUGAUAGAGCUCAGGAGUAUUCCACCUACAGCUUGCAUGAAAUGUGGCAUAUCUGACCACUAAGUGAAAAAUGCCCUUGACCUUGCCUGAAACCAGGACCCUGUCCAAAUGUGGAAAAGCAGGGCAAUGAGAAGUUAGGCGUCACUUAGACAAGGUAAGUUGGUCCCCG